UUUACAUUGAAAUAACGCAAUCUAUUUUACACUGUCAUCGCUUCUUCGAUGAUCACGAAACGAGCACCGCCUUCUUCGUCAUCGAUACAAUUAUACAAAGAUACGGAUCUCAUCUGUUCUCCAAUCAAGAAAAAAAGAAGAAGAAGAAGAAGAGAAAAAAAAGGAAUCUCGUCGCAUUCGUUCUUGCAAGAUCCUUCGAGAAUAAAAAAGAUCCGAUUCCGAAAGCAUCGAACAGUUUAUUCAUUACGUAAUGAGAUUACUAGGAAGAGAGAUAUUGUAUCACGAGCUACGUAGUUUCUUCUCGCUUAUAUCGAAGAUUCGCGCGGAAACGGAAGUUCGACAAGGCACUACUACUCUCCGCCUCUUCGAGACUACGCAUUUUAAUGAAGAUUAUUAAAAUGAGAUGGAGCUUAAGAAGUUCCGAAACAAUAUCUUAACGCGACUCGAGUUACGUGGCGAAGAUCAGUGGUUUAAAGUGUGGAAGAGAAGAGAAUCUUUUUCGAAAAUUAAGGAACGAAUUUUAUCAAGUAAACGAAACAAGAUUUAAAACAGUAACGGCGGAUGGAAAAUUCAUCUUUUCGAAAUUUAAGUAAAAUUUUUAACGAGAAACGAAUUACAAGAUUUAACCUAACCUUUAAUUAAAUUGGGAUAUUCGUUCUCAGAUUCGAUUUCUCAGUGUUUUUGGCUUUGAAAAAAUUCUGAAAUUGCUCAUCAAGAGCAUUUAAUUUGGAACAAUUUGAAACAAAUUAUCGUUGAAUUUAAAGUUGAACAAAACUUUUUUCCAACAAUCUAACCUAAUUCAACUCGGGACAUUUAUUCCGAAACUCUUUUUCUUAUCGUUUUUUUUUUUGGGGGGGGGGGGGAGUUGAAAAAACUCUGAAAAUACUGAUCAAAGUCUUUAAUUUGGAAUACAAAUCGUUAAACGAGAAUUUAAAACUUUUUCGAUAAAAAUAAAAUCUCGUUUCCAAGUUAUUUGACGUUAAAAAUUUCCCUUUGAUCUUCAGUCAUCCACGACAAAAUAAGUAGAACGAAAAAGGGGG